rnacentral:tRNA from 1 species
GCCAGGAUGGCCGAGUGGUCUAAGGCGCCAGACUCAAGUUCUGGUCUUCGAGAGAGGGCGUGGGUUCAAAUCCCACUUCUGACA